rnacentral:rRNA from 1 species
UAGGGAAUCUUCGGCAAUGGGGGGAACCCUGACCGAGCAACGCCGCGUGAGUGAAGAAGGUUUUCGGAUCGUAAAGCUCUGUUGUUAAGGAAGAACGAGUGUGAGAAUGGAAAGUUCAUACUGUGACGGUACUUAACCAGAAAGGGACGGCUAACUACGUGCCAGCAGCCGCGGUAAUACGUAGGUCCCGAGCGUUGUCCGGAUUUAUUGGGCGUAAAGCGAGCGCAGGCGGUUAGAUAAGUCUGAAGUUAAAGGCAGUGGCUCAACCAUUGUAGGCUUUGGAAACUGUUUAACGUGAGUGCAGAAGGGGAGAGUGGAAUUCCAUGUGUAGCGGUGAAAUGCGUAGAUAUAUGGAGGAACACCGGUGGCGAAAGCGGCUCUCUUGUCUGUAACUGACGCUGAGGCUCGAAAGCGUGGGGAGCGAACAGG